CCUACGGGAUGCAGCAGUGGGGAAUAUUGCACAAUGGGCGCAAGCCUGAUGCAGCCAUGCCGCGUGUGUGAAGAAGGCCUUCGGGUUGUAAAGCACUUUCAGCGGGGAGGAAGGCGUUAAGGUUAAUAACCUUAACGAUUGACGUUACCCGCAGAAGAAGCACCGGCUAACUCCGUGCCAGCAGCCGCGGUAAUACGGAGGGAGCAAGCGUUAAUCGGAAUUACUGGGCGUAAAGCGCACGCAGGCGGUCUGUCAAGUCGGAUGUGAAAUCCCCGGGCUCAGCCUGGGAACUGCAUUCGAAACUGGCAGGCUAGAGUCUUGUAGAGGGGGGUAGAAUUCCAGGUGUAGCGGUGAAAUGCGUAGAGAUCUGGAGGAAUACCGGUGGCGAAGGCGGCCCCCUGGACAAAGACUGACGCUCAGGUGCGAAAGCGUGGGGAGCAAACAGGAUUAGAUACCCGAGUAGUC
rnacentral:rRNA from 1 species